rnacentral:rRNA from 1 species
AGAGUUUGAUUCUGGCUCAGGAUGAACGCUGGCGGCGUGCUUAACACAUGCAAGUCGAACGGAGUUUUUAAACGGAAGUUUUCGGAUGGAAGUUUAGAAACUUAGUGGCGGACGGGUGAGUAACGCGUGGGUAACCUGCCUCAUACAGGGGGAUAACAGUUAGAAAUGACUGCUAACACCGCAUAAUAUAGCGAAACCGCAUGAUUUUGCUAUCAAAUAUUUAUAGGUAUGAGAUGGGCCCGCGUCUGAUUAGCUAGUUGGUGGGGUAAAGGCCUACCAAGGCGACGAUCAGUAGCCGGCUUGAGAGAGUGACCGGCCACAUUGGGACUGAGACACGGCCCAAACUCCUACGGGAGGCAGCAGUGGGGAAUAUUGGACAAUGGGGGAAACCCUGAUCCAGCCGACGCCGCGUGAGUGAAGAAGUAUUUCGGUAUGUAAAGCUCUAUCAGCAGGGAAGAUAAUGACAGUACCUGACUAAGAAGCCCCGGCUAACUACGUGCCAGCCGCCGC